rnacentral:rRNA from 1 species
AUUGAACGCUGGCGGCAUGCUUUACACAUGCAAGUCGAACGGCAGCGCGGGCUUCGGCCUGGCGGCGAGUGGCGAACGGGUGAGUAAUGCAUCGGAACGUGCCCAGUAGUGGGGGAUAGCCCGGCGAAAGCCGGAUUAAUACCGCAUACGACCUGAGGGUGAAAGCGGGGGACCGAAAGGCCUCGCGCUAUUGGACCGGCCGAUGUCGGAUUAGCUAGUUGGUGGGGUAAAGGCUUACCAAGGCGACGAUCCGUAGCUGGUCUGAGAGGACGACCAGCCACACUGGGACUGAGACACGGCCCAGACUCCUACGGGAGGCAGCAGUGGGGAAUUUUGGACAAUGGGGGCAACCCUGAUCCAGCCAUGCCGCGUGCGGGAAGAAGGCCUUCGGGUUGUAAAGCGCUUUUGUUCGGGAAGAAAUCCUCUGGGCUAAUACCCCGGGGGGAUGACGGUACCGGAAGAAUAAGCACCGGCUAACUACGUG